UACGGGGGGAGCAAGCGUUGUCCGGAUUUAUUGGGCGUAAAGAGCGUGUAGGCGGCCAGACAGGUCCGUUGUGAAAACUAGAGGCUUAACCUCUAGACGUCGAUGGAAACCGUCUGGCUAGAGUCCGGAAGAGGAGAAUGGAAUUCCUGGUGUAGCGGUGAAAUGCGCAGAUAUCAGGAAGAACACCCGUGGCUAAGGCGGUUCUCUAGUACGGUACUGACGCUGAGACGCGAAAGCGUGGGGAGCGAACAGG
rnacentral:rRNA from 1 species